rnacentral:tRNA from 1 species
GGCACUUUGGCGGAGUGGUUAACGCGCAGGACUGCUAAUCCUGUCCCUUCGGGGGCCUGAGUUCGAAUCUCAGAGGUGUCG